AGACAGCAUCCAACGUUGUCUGCCUACCAUUAACUUACUGUAGAGUCAGAUGUUUAUGAUUGCUGUUAGCUAGCUGACUUUAAAGUUGUCACAUGUGCGCUGCAGUUUUCGGGAAACCAGUGGCUCAGUUUCCUUUAUUAACUGGGAACGACACAUAAUCCAGUCUGGCCAACACACUGAGGGUCCAUAAGAGACCUGAUGACUUUCACCAUGGCCUGGUGGAGCUGAGCUUCACCCCUGAACAGAACAGUCCUGAACAGUCUCACUGCCUCUCAUACCCCAAGGACUUUAACGUGCAGGCAGCAUCAGCCUCGAGAUGGCCCGGAGCAGACAGGUCACCGCGAGGGAAAUUAUCACCGAAGAAAACUAAGAAAAAUUAGGAUUCCUGUCAUUUUAAUAUGUCUCUCAAUAUGUUUUCUUGUAUAAAAAGCCCCAAAUAAACACUGUAUACAGUCACUUGAUUACUUUGAAAGAGCACGUGUAUAGGAAAUCACUAUAAGUGGUUUCCAAAUGAGUUAACAACUCUUGCUGGACCAUGGUACACUCAUACAUACAUUCAUACACACACCAUGUUGCAUGAGCGAAUAAUCAAUGAUGUUCCCAGUGUACAGUUUCCACUAGUAUACAUGUUGUGGUCAUAAGAAGCCUCCUAACUUGAUUUCAAGAUCUUUAUGGUACGUUCGCAGAAUCAACUAAAUCAAUUAAUUCAGAAACCAGGGGUUCUAGAACAAUGUUUCUGGCAGUAUGUAGCAAAGCAGUAUUAUAAUCAGUAUUCGUAGAUGUUUCUAGCUGAGUGCGUGCUGUGUAUUAGUGAGCAUGAAUGGAAUGUAAUCAGGAUCGUGAUGGUGACAGCAUACUGAUAACGUAAUUGUUAUGGCAGCUGCAGUUUAUUCAAAAUCUGUGUGUUUGCUUGUGUGUACUGUAACAUCAGAAUGCUUCUCUCUACCUCUGUCCCGUGACCCGACACCAACAUGUGAGCGUUAGGAGCAGACAAUGCUGUGAACUGCUUGACAUUUUUGUACAGGUCCCAACAUUUCUCCCCCUCUUGUGAGAAAAAAAAAAAGAGUGAGCAAUUGUUGAGACAUUAAUUAACUGAACAUUGUUUAACUUCAUUUGCAAGCAGACAGUCUGGUAUGUGACAAAUGUGCUCUCGCAGUACAGACUUUUGGAGCGAGCAGCCGCUGUGAUGAAAAAUGCUGAAACUGAGCCAAAAACCCAAAAGCGACCAUAAAUGAAGACAUUAAGUGCCUCUUUUAAGAUGCAUCUAUAAUCCUCAGAGCCAAUUAUGUGCAUUAUUACACAAGGAUUUGCUCUACGUCUGAUUUUAAAUUUGGGAAAAUGUUGUGUUGACCAUCAAGACCGUCUCGCCAUAAACAUCACAUUUUCUGGAGAAUAUCUGAUUGAAUAAAGUUAUCUAAUUACCAGCCUGUGGUGGGAGGAGGAGGAGGAGGAGGAGGAGGAGGAAGCGUCUCAUUAACAGAUCAUAUCAAAUCAUCUUCACACUCUGGAAAUCUCAUUCAACAGCCACAGCUGAGAAGACUUAUAUCUCCGAGUUUCAUUUCCAGCUGCUAAUUUUCUCUCUGUGUCGGAGUCGCACUUAAUGAAAAUGAGCUUUCCGUCUUUUUAAAAUGUCUCCGAAACUACAGAUUCAUUUCUCAAAACGGAGACCGGUUAACCAUCCUGUCAGAACUCCACAUAUCUCUGGCAAAAUGAAACACUGUUUUUAAGUUGGUGGCAAGAGUCGGUUUUGACAAGCGUGAACAUUGUUUUAAAUGCAACAGUGCCGAUAUGAGUAUCUCUCACAGAGCAUCAUUUAAACACUGGUGUGCUAAAUCUACAACGCCUCCAUCAUAACACAUUUGGCUUCGUGAGGCUAUGCGACAUAUUCAACUCUAUAAAACUUGAUGACAUGGGCUCGGUUUUCUACUUUUUUAUUGUAACAUUUGUUUGAGUUUUGUCAGCCAUUUUCUUCUGCUGUUUUUCUAGGUCCAAGUUGUAUAAAUGCAGUAAAUCUGACAAACUGUUUUCAUUUCAAAGCUUCCCAAUUGACCAGCAACUGAAAAGAUGACGGGCGGUGAACACUUGGGAGGGACACGGAGCCAUCUUUCAAGGUAGAACACCACAUUUGAUGACCCGUUAGCUAACAAACUACAGUUUAAUUACAUCCAGUGUGUUUCACUCAAGGACGUUUAAUCAUAAUCAGUUACACUACCAGGCAAAUAUUGUUGUUUAGAAUUAUUUUACACGUUUCCUAUUGUGUUAUGUAGCAGGUAUCAAACUGUCCUCUUCGGUCAAACAGCAACUAACGAAAGUACUCAACCACUUCCUAGCUAACGGCUGAUCAAAAAAUGCAGUUUCUUCUUUAAUAUGACUCGAUGUCCCUCCGGGUUGUCAAAAUCUAUUGUUUUUUUCAUCCCCAUUCAGUCAGGAAGCAGUGACAUGAUAACAAUUUGUCAGAUACUCCAUGUCUACAGCACUUGCAUCCUGGAACAAAGCAUUAGAGCUUCCAACCAAUGUGCGUGAUGUCAGAGGAAAAUGUCUGCCAUGUGAAUAAGGCCCGUGCAUAUCUGUCUAUCCAGUGAGCUCCAAUUGGGUUAAAUUCACAACCCAGCUACUGAGAGUCAGACUGGAAACUUGCAGCCGAUGCGGUAAGAUUGAACCUUGGUUGCAAAGAUUUCAUUAGGAAUACUCCGUCACCUUGCUCUCCAUCCUCCUUCUCUCCCUCCCUGUUAUCUGUGCUGCUCCAUUUUUUUUUUCACCUGAGUGUUUAGAGUUCAGCAAAAAUGUGAUUAAGAAAGUCUAUUUGAGAGAAAACAGCAGAAUAUUGCUUCGGGUUAGGAAGACUGAAGGCUUUUUUUUUUCUGGAUUAAUUAGGUUCGAGUGGUCGGGCUUGUGUGCACGUAUACAGUGUGUGUGUGCAAAUUUAAUAUUCCACUUGAAAAACAUGUGAGGUCAAAGCUAUGCGUCGGAGUUUCCAGUCAUUAAUUCUAUAGACUUUCGUAUGAUUAUUUUACCAACUCGCUCACGGUGAACAUGCAUGCAAUUAAUGUGUCCUGCAGCUACAUCCGGCUGCAGGACUAUCUUUGAAUAGCUAAAGCACCGACUGCUCUCGUCAUGACUAAUGAAUGAGUCGGUGUUGGUGAAAUUCAAAGUACUUGUUGUGGCAUCUUUUGUGCGGGGAAUCCACUGUUCUCACGGGAAAACAUCACAGUGUUUCUGACACCGAGAAGGACGUGAAAACUGAAAUAACUACGGUGCAGUCGUCUUAAACGCCAGAGGCAGCCAACGGCACACUGAUGCAAACACACUCGCUGACAAUAAUUCAUGUGUGCUUACCAGCCUGCGCUCUCUGACAGAAACAUCACAAAAUUAGAACUUAUCGAACAUAAUUACUUCUGAUGACAUGCUUGGAAAUGUCUGUAAUUAAGAUGAUAUGUUUAGGAAUUUAAACCCGUCAGAAUUAUACGAGUCUAAUUUAUGUGGUCACGCGUUAGAUUUAAAGGCUGCCAGAGGAGUCUAUCUGCUGACACAGUGGCAGCAGUAAGCUGAUCAUAAUUCACAUGAAUGAAAAUCUAUUAAAACACGGCGUUAUGACCUUUUUUUGGAGAGAAAUCUUGUUGUUCUUUGAUGUCAGUGUGUUUAGCAUGGUUCUAAUUUAUCUGCUUGUAUUUUUUUCUAUUAAUAAAAACAGAUGGAACAUUAUUAUCUCUCUAUAGUUGGUGAUGUGAUGUUGGUGAGUUUGAUCUUCCAUCUGUCCAGAGGCAUAUAUCUCUGCAGCUACUGACCCGAUUGUCAUGAAAUGUGAUAAAUAUUCAUUUUUAGUGGUGCCACUGUCAGGCCCCUCGUGACUGGAUUUUCCUGUGAACUGACUGUGGAUCUUCAUGUUCUGCGGUAGAUGAAUCCAGUGUUUUUGGUGGAUAGCGCCACCAUCAAAGUCACUGUGGCAGAUUUCAAUGACAUUCACUGACAAGUCUGAAUACUGAAUGAGUUUUCCAUUUUAAAAUGUCAACUUUCAUGCAACACGUCUCAUAAUUAGAGAGACUGACAGGAAAUCUGAGAAUGAACGCAGCAGAUUUUAAUGACUGCUCUGCAUUCUGCCGAGGUCCUCCCUUGGGAUGCUUUCAUUGUUUUUUUAGAUGUUGCACUGGUGAAGUCAUGAGGAAAGGAAAAAUGUCAUUAUGUUAUUUAUUUCAUCCAAUACUGUUGAAUCAUGAGGUGUAAUAAAAGUCGAGCUCUCCGGGGGGACUCUUGCUGGAACUAGUUGUUUUGUAAUAAGACAUACCUUUUCACUCUGUAGGUAGCAGAUAUCAUAGUAAUCAGAGAUGGAAAGUGACUAAAUACAUUUUCCUCCAGUGCUGCAGUUUUAAAGUAAUUCCAUUUUAUAGAAGACUGAAAUAAUUGCUUACUUUGUAGAUUUAUUUUACUAAUAUUAAAUACAAUCAACAAAUGAAAUAUGAUUAUUACUGCUUGAAAUAAAACAUUAUUAGUCCCCAUGAGGGCCAGAUUCAUGAGCUACCCAGCAGUAUAUUAAGUAAUUAAAAAUGAGUCCCACCUUAGCCAGCAGCGUCAUUAAAGUGAUGACCAGUGUAUAAUGUUGACUGGCUAAAUCAAUAUUGGGACUUAAGUGCUCGUUUUCUAGUUUUUGACUGUCAGUUGCCUCCAGUGACAAUUCACAAUCUUGAAAUGAAAUUGAAGUAUCUUCAUUCAAACACCUGGGAGACAUGAUAGAUAACAACCUCUCACAGACGCCUCAUGCAGAGUUUAUUUGUAAAAUAAAAAUGCAGCAGCACAUUUACUUUCUCCACAGACUCAGAUCUUUUUGGAGCAAAUAGCCAGAUUAUCUCUCUGUUUUUCAAAUCAGUGAUUCAGAGUGUCGGCGUGUGUGCUGCAGCACAGCCUGGCUCUGCAGCCCGUCUGUGAAACUCGAAACUAAAAUUAUAUAAUCCACUCCGAAUUUGUGUGAAGGUAAUUGGUCAUCCUGUAGCACACUCCUUUCAUGGUCCUGACUGUUUGAUGUGCGUUUCUGAAUGUGAGCGGUAUGUGUAACAGUAUGUCGAAUCUGCAGGAGAACUUUUUGAGUGGAGACGUCUGAGGAUGCAAAAUGAAUUGCGGUCAACACCGAACUAAAGUUUUAUCGUAUCGUAACAAGACUACUUUUACUUUUGGUACUUUGAACUUAGUGUGAUGCUGAUACUUGUGUACUUUUACUUAAGGAAGAUUUUGAAUGCCAGACUUUUACAGGUGACAGUAUUUCAAAACCAGUGUUUCUACUUUUGCUCAAAGAUCUGAUUGUAAUCCAGUUGAAUGAACGUACAAAAGCUCUGCAUAUCUUCAUGUGAGAGGAAGGAAAUAUAAAAAACUAACAUCUUUUCUAAAAGAAAAUGAGAAGUGGCAGACACUCUGGCACUGAUGGAAAUUGAAACCGAGAGCCAAUCUCAGUGUACACAGUGCCACCUGAUCACAUAAGUUCCGAGCGCAGCAGCUUUACCAAAAAAUGUACCUUUGACAUUUAAUUAAAAUAUUACGAUCACAGCAAAUUAAUUUAUUCGGGUACAUUAAGUAAUAAAUCAAACUCUAUUUGAUUCACAUCAAAUAACAGAGCAGCUGCACUAUGAAGAGCUCUUCCACCUGCCUAGUGUCUGAUACAGUACCACAUUACUGUCUGUGAGAUAGUCCUGAGGAUGCCGGCUGAAUACUGAGCGCAGAUCGGGGCUGCUGCUUAUUCUCAGCACAUAUUUAUAGCCAUAAAACACUUGUGAAAUCGACAGCUACUGGAGAUUCUGUUGACUUUUUAUCAUACAUUUUAAAUACCAUGGGAUCGUGUCUCCUCGGUAUGUGACAGUACCAGAGAGUUGUGUCGUCUUGGUUUCCAAAAAAAAAAAAAAAAAGCAGAAUGUCAAGGGCCGGGCA